rnacentral:rRNA from 1 species
AUGAACGCUGGCGGCGUGCCUAAUACAUGCAAGUCGAGCGAACAGACGAGGAGCUUGCUCCUCUGACGUUAGCGGCGGACGGGUGAGUAACACGUGGAUAACCUACCUAUAAGACUGGGAUAACUUCGGGAAACCGGAGCUAAUACCGGAUAAUAUAUUGAACCGCAUGGUUCAAUAGUGAAAGACGGUUUUGCUGUCACUUAUAGAUGGAUCCGCGCCGCAUUAGCUAGUUGGUAAGGUAACGGCUUACCAAGGCAACGAUGCGUAGCCGACCUGAGAGGGUGAUCGGCCACACUGGAACUGAGACACGGUCCAGACUCCUACGGGAGGCAGCAGUAGGGAAUCUUCCGCAAAGGGCGAAAGCUUGACGGAGCAACGCCGCGUGAGUGAUGAAGGUCUUCGGAUCAUAAAACUCUGUUAUUAGGGAAGAACAAAUGUGUAAGUAACUAUGCACGUCUUGACGGUACCUAAUCAGAAAGCCACGGCUAACUACGUG